rnacentral:rRNA from 1 species
UACGUAGGGACCAAGCGUUGUCCGGAAUCAUUGGGCGUAAAGAGCGUGUAGGCGGCUUGUUAAGUCUUGCGUGAAAUCUCGGGGCUCAACCCCGAGCGGUCGUGAGAAACUGGCAGGCUAGAGUGCGGGAGAGGAGAGUGGAAUUCCUGGUGUAGCGGUGAAAUGCGCAGAUAUCAGGAAGAACACCCGUGGCGAAGGUGGCUCUCUGGAACGCAACUGACGCUGAGACGCGAAAGCGUGGGGAGCAAACAGG